rnacentral:rRNA from 1 species
UACGGAGGGUGCGAGCGUUAUCCGGAUUUAUUGGGCUUAAAGGGUGCGCAGGCGGCCCGUUAAGUCGGCGGUGAAACCCGUGCGCCCAACGCACGGCCUGCCGCCGAUACUACCGGGCUAGGGUAGAGGCAGCGCUUUUGGAAUGCGUCAAGUAGCGGUGAAAUGCACAGAUAUGACGCAGAACGCCGACCGCGAAGGCAGGGGGCGGGCCAUCUACCGACGCUCAUGCACGAAAGCGCGGGUAUCGAACAGG